UCAAAAGUUCGGAAAAUUAUUGGGAUUAUUUGAAGACGGAGGUCUGUCCUCAUGAAGAUUCUCCAAAACCCUUGCACGAAUUUCCCAAAGCUGUUAUGAUGACAAUGAAUUAUUUUUGUUCGGCGUGACGUUCGGAUGGAUUCAAUUUCAUCUUGACUGAUCAGGACUUGAGCAAGGAUAGUAACACACGUGUGCCACAAGCACGCAAGGAGGAAAUAAACAUGGAACAAGGUAAAGUAAAAUGGUUUAACGCAGAAAAGGGCUUCGGUUUCAUCGAACGCGAAGAUGGCGACGAUGUAUUCGUACACUUCUCCGCUAUCCAGCAAGACGGUUUCAAGUCCCUUGAUGAAGGUCAAGAAGUUGAGUUCGAAAUCGAAGAAGGCCCACGCGGUCUUCAAGCUGCGAACGUCGUAAAAAUCUAAUUUUAGAUAACGACUACAAACGCCGUCUCCUCCGGGAGGCGGCGUUUUU
rnacentral:sRNA from 1 species